rnacentral:lncRNA from 1 species
UUUUGCUAAGUCUUCUCCACCUAAGUCCUCAAAAAUUUGAACAAGGCCAUAUUAUCAGAUAAAAGCAGAUGUAGCUUUCAUAGGACUUAGUUCCAGCAAAGCAAAGGUUGACAUUGCACCAAACAAUAGCGUCUAUACUUCAUUCUUAUGGCUUGGAGAAGCCUAUGCAACAUGACAAGCCAGAUGACAUGUAGAUGAGAAGGUUCUGCAUCAAGAGAAACCAAAGCAAAAUCUUUGCAUCAAGAGAGCACCGAUGAAAAGCUGAUGUAGAGGCCAGUUGACAAACUUAUGGAAGACCAGCUGACCAAAUAAUUGAAAAUCUAUUGAACUAUGUAUCAAGUUCAUUAAUUUGUGUAAUUCUGAAUGAGACCUUUUAUGCUACUGCAACGUCUGUGACCACAAAUGACUGUUGCAGCAAGACCAUACUCCAGGAGUGGAGCUGUCUAUAUGAAGAGUGUAGGUAGAGACAAUUGGCUAAUAUUGUACAGGUUCAGUUUGCAGGAUCGUAGCAACAGGGUUCAAAGACGUGUGUUUGAAAGGGCAGUUGCUGAUGAUCAGCAUGAUGGAAGGUGGGGAGUUCCAUUGCUGGUUUAAGCUGGAGCUAGCUUCUGAAGUCCGGUCAGGUGUCUGUAUGUGUUGCCCUUUUUUAUUUCAUUUCAUGAGAGAGGAUUGUUAUUUGUUCCUUGAACUGUACUUGGUCGUACUUGUGAAUAAAUGUUUUAGCAUGG